rnacentral:rRNA from 1 species
GACGAACGCUAGCGGCGUGCCUAAUACAUGCAAGUCGAGCGGAGUUUUUCUGUUGCUUGUGCCGGCAAGACUUAGAGGCGAACGAGUGAGUAACACGUAAAGAACCUGCCUCAUAGACUGGGACCAAUAUUGGAAAAGAUAGCGAAUACCGGAUAACAACCUUACCUGCGUGGUUGAUGUUUAAGAGUUGCUUUUUCUAACACUAUGAGAUGGCUUUGCGGUGCAUUAGCUAGUUGGUGGGGUAAAGGCCUACCAAGGCGACGAUCCAUAGCCGACCUGAGAGGGGGAUAGGCGACACUGGGACUGAGACACGGCCCAGACUGCGACGGGAGGCAGCAGUAGGGAAUCUUCCGCAAUGGGCGAAAGCCUUACGGAACAACGCCGCGUGAGUGAAGAAGGAUUUCGGUUCGUAAAGCUCUGUUGUUAGGGAAGAAGGACUGUGUAGUAACUAUACACAGUAGUGACGGUACCUAACCAGAAAGCCACGGCUAACUACGUG